rnacentral:rRNA from 1 species
UACGAACUGUGCGAACGUUAUUCGGAAUCACUGGGCUUACAGGGUGCGUAGGCGGCUUGUUAAGUAGGGUGUGAAAGCCCCCGGCUCAACCGGGGAAUUGCGCCCUAAACUGGCGAGCUGGAGUGAGAUAGGGGUGUGUGGAACUUCCGGUGGAGCGGUGAAAUGCGUAGAUAUCGGAAGGAACAUCAGUGGCGAAAGCGGCUUCCUGGACCAGAACUGACGAUCAGGCUCGAAAGCGUGGGGAGCAAACAGG